rnacentral:tRNA from 1 species
AGCAGGGUGGUCCAGUGGAUAGAACAUGGGCCUGGGAGUCAGAAGGACCUGGGUUCUAAUCCCAGCUCCGCCA